rnacentral:rRNA from 1 species
AUUGAACGCUGGCGGCAGGCUUAACACAUGCAAGUCGAACGGUAACAUAAAGAAGCUUGCUUCUUUGAUGACGAGUGGCGGACGGGUGAGUAAUGCUUGGGAAUCUAGCUUAUGGAGGGGGAUAACUACGGGAAACUGUAGCUAAUACCGCGUAAUAUCGAAAGAUUAAAGUGUGGGACCUUCGGGCCACAUGCCAUAAGAUGAGCCCAAGUGGGAUUAGGUAGUUGGUGAGGUAAAGGCUCACCAAGCCGACGAUCUCUAGCUGGUCUGAGGGGAUGACCAGCCACACUGGGACUGAGCCACGGCCCAGACUCAUACGGGAGGCAGCAGUGGGGAAUAUUGCGCAAUGGGGGGAACCCUGACGCAGCCAUGCCGCGUGAAUGAAGAAGGCCUUCGGGUUGUAAAGUUCUUUCGGUAGCGAGGAAGGCAUUUAGUUUAAUAGACUAGGUGAUUGACGUUAACUACAGAAGAAGCACCGGCUAACUCCGUGCCAGCCGCCGCCGUAA